UGCAUAUUGCAUCCCAAAGUGUGGAGGCUGCAGGCAGAGGAAAGUGCACCCUGCAAACACUUCCCCUCACAGGGAUGUCAUAUCAGAACAUCAGGGAUGAUGAAACAGGAAGGAGGUUGGUGGACACCUGUUCCAUCUCCCUGACACAGGGAGUGAGCAUAAGGGCUCUCCAGGAGCAGGGACUGGGAACUGCCUGGGAAGGCUUCUGACACUGCUCAGGCCACUGUCCCUGGUGGUACCACACCAGACUGUGGUCCAGGACCUGGAGCCCAUGGAGGCCAAGUCCGAGGCUGCAGACAGGGGGAUGGUGCUUGGAGAGACCUCAGCAGGAGACCAGGAGCCAGCAGGGUAUCAGGCACCCACCCACGGAGAGCCUG